rnacentral:lncRNA from 1 species
AGAAUUCUCAUCUUCUUCAGCUGUCCAAAUCAGGAGAGAAAAAGGAGGAAAAGAAAUAAGAACCCUAGCUGAAAAAAUUUGGGGAAAAUCAAGAGAAAUCAAGAAAUCAAGCAUUAAAAAGGUAAAUUUCAUUGAUUUUCCUUGUGAUUUUCACUACCCAUGCAUUGUUUUCUCUUUUCCAUGCAAAAUUAGAAAGUGGGUAUGGACACCCAUGCUGGCCAAACCUCCAUGGAUGAGUUUUGAGCUUGAGUUUUGUUUGAUUUUAAUUGAAUUAAGUGAUUUUAGUUAGGUUAUAUUGAAAUAUAGCAAAAAUAAGCUAGAGAAAUAAUUUUCUCCCAUUGAAACCCAUUAUGCUGAAUUUUCUAGGAAACUAUUGGCUGCUGAUCUUGAUGUUUAUUUGAGGAAUUAUGAUGAAUAAUGAUGAAUUAUGAGCCUAGAAAAAUAAUGAGAAUUUUCAGAGCAAAAAUAUGAAUUUUUACCCACUAGGGGUAUUUUCGUAAUUUACUAUCGGGAUUGAUAAUUUGCACCACACUGAGAAACAUUAAGUCAAUUUGGGUGCAAUUGAGGUAUAAAAACUGAAAAAAAAAAUUAAUUUGGAGUUUAAACGGACGCGUAUGUCGAUUUAUCCGGUAAAAGAUCGAAAUAGGCUAACACCUCGUUUAGGCAAAAUUUAGACAUUUUGCAGUUCAUAUCAUGCAUUAGUAGUAUAAAUUAGUUUAUUUUGGUUUAGUACCAAAGUAGUAAACCUCUUAAUUGUACAAUUUGUCAAGGUGGCGAAUCCUUUAGUAAGGGCAAAGAAAUCGCACUCGAGGAGUAAUAGUUGGAGUACCCGAAUUUAGUUUUCAAAAACUGUGAGUAAACUUAUUAUCGUCUUAAUUAUCUAGAAUAGUUUUAUACAAUUGUGUGAUUUUAUGGAAAAUGGGUUUAAAUGGUAAAUUGCUAUGUUUUAAAAGAAAUUGUGAUUUUAUAAAAUGAUUUUAUAAAUUUUCUGAAAAAUCAAAUACUGGUUUUGAAAAUAGAGUAAUUGGAGAUUGCCUUCUUGUGUUGUAAAUUUAUGGUUUUAAAUUGAAUGGCUUAUGACAAUAAAUGAGCAUGAAUGGCUAAAUUGAUUUUGGUGUUAGAAUUAUUUGUACUGUGUAUUUAGACUUGAGAGGCUAGGUUGCGAUAAAUUGCCAUGUCAUGCAGAAAAAGAUUUUAUAAAUCAGGUGGUAGAUAAAAGAUUAGCUACUGCAGUGGUGGGGGGUUCCGUGGGCCUGCCUAUUAGAGGGGCACGGUAAACUCUUUUAUAUUCUCACCUCGGUCGUAGAGGCGCGUAGGGUAUCUCCUGAGGUGGGCUUUUUGAGUGCACUUCAUGUGGACCACCGCGUGAGAGUGAGACUCAGCCAACGCCAAGGAACGGCUAUGUUUCAAAAUAAAAAUAUGAUUUAUGCAAAAUAUGAAUUUUUAACAGCCUUGGCGGAUUCGGUUGGAUACCCCUGGUCCAGGUGUCACCGAGUACAGGAUUUGGCAUGAGCCAAGUUUUGAAUAAUUCACGAGCCAUAUUGAUUAUUUGGUUGAAAUGAAUAUUCGUGAUGUAAAAAAUUUACUGAAGUUAAUUAUUUUUUAAUUGUCUCUAUUUACUCGCCUUUAGAUAGUUUAGAUGGUGUCUGUUUACUCACUGGGAUUUUAUAAUCUCACCACCCUCAAUUCUCCACAUUUCAGGUUCGGGAUAGCUGGUAGAUGGCCGAUUGCAUCAAGGACUUCAGUUAGCCUUGCAUUGUCAAAAUUAUAGGUUCACAGACUCGCAUCUGAUUGGUUAGUUGGGGGCCCACGUGUCAUUGUAAAAGUAAUUUUAUACUUUAAUUACUUGAUUUAAAAUAUGUAUGAACAUAUUUAGCUUUUACACCAUGUUUUUGGCGGGUUUCGAUAUUUUCGAAGAAAAAUGACAAAAAUGCCCCUGUGAGGAAGAAAAUAAUAUUUUAUUGUUUUGAUUUGGAAACGACUUAUGAUUUCUUGAAAUGCAAGAUUUAAUAACUGUCGCUCACUAGGGAGAUGCGGA